rnacentral:rRNA from 1 species
AGCGGCGACCAUAGUGCAAGAGUGAACCAAUUGAUCCUUCCCUGAACUCAGAAGUGAAACCUCUUAGCGCUGAUGGUAGUGUGGGAUUACCCAUGUGAGAGUAAGUCAUCGCCAGCU